rnacentral:rRNA from 1 species
GACAGCAGCAGCCGCGGUAAUACGGAGGAUCCAAGCGUUAUCCGGAAUCAUUGGGUUUAAAGGGUCCGUAGGCGGUCUUGUAAGUCAGUGGUGAAAGCCCAUCGCUCAACGGUGGAACGGCCAUUGAUACUGCAGGACUUGAAUUAUUGGGAAGUAACUAGAAUAUGUAGUGUAGCGGUGAAAUGCUUAGAGAUUACAUGGAAUACCAAUUGCGAAGGCAGGUUACUACCAAUUGAUUGACGCUGAUGGACGAAAGCGUGGGUAGCGAACAGGAUUAGAUACCCCAGUAGUCCCUGUCUCUUAUAC